rnacentral:rRNA from 1 species
UACAGAGGUCUCAAGCGUUGUUCGGAUUCAUUGGGCGUAAAGGGUGCGUAGGUGGCGUGUAAGUCGGAGUGUGAAAUUUCGGAGCUUAACUCCGAAACUGCAUUUGAUACUGCGGUGCUUGAGGACUGGAGAGGAGACUGGAAUUUACGGUGUAGCAGUGAAAUGCGUAGAGAUCGUAAGGAAGACCAGUGGCGAAGGCGGGUCUCUGGACAGUUCCUGACACUGAGGCACGAAGGCCAGGGGAGCAAACGGG